rnacentral:rRNA from 1 species
CCUACGGGAGGCAGCAGUGAGGGAUAUUGCUCAAUGGGGGCAACCCUGAUGCAGCGAAGCCGCGUGAAUGAAGAAGGAUUUCGGUAUGUAAAGCUCUAUCAGCAGGGGAGUAAAUGACGGUACGUGACCAAGAAGCUCCGGCUAACUACGUGCCAGCUGCCGCGGUACUACGUAGGGGGCAAGCGUUAUCCGGAUUUACUGGGUGUAAAGGGAGCGUAGACGGUUAUGUAAGUCUGGAGUGAAAGCCCGGGGCCCAACCCCGGGACUGCUUUGGAAACUGUGUAACUGGAGUACAGGAGGGGCAGGCGGAAUUCCUGGUGUAGCGGUGAAAUGCGUAGAUAUCAGGAGGAACACCGGCGGCGAAGGCGGCCUGCUGGACUGACACUGACGUUGAGGCUCGAAAGCGUGGGGAGCAAACAGGAUUAGAUACCCGAGUAGUC